rnacentral:rRNA from 1 species
UACGUAGGGGGCUAGCGUUGUCCGGAAUCAUUGGGCGUAAAGAGCGUGUAGGCGGCCCGGUAAGUCCGCUGUAAAAGUCAAAGGCUCAACCUUUGAAUGUCAGUGGAUACUGCCGGGCUAGAGUCCGGAAGAGGCGAGUGGAACUCCUGGUGUAGCGGUGGAAUGCGCAGAUAUCAGGAAGAACACCAACGGCGAAGGCAGCUCGCUGGGACGGUACUGACGCUGAGAACGCGAAAGCGUGGGGAGCAAACAGG